rnacentral:rRNA from 1 species
UACGAGGGGGGCUAGUGUUGUUCGGAAUCACUGGGCGUAAAGGGCUCGUAGGCGGCCAACUAAGUCAGACGUGAAAUCCCCAGGCUCAACCUGGGAACUGCGUCUGAUACUGGAUGGCUUGAAUCCGGGAGAGGGAUGCAGAAUUCCAGGUGUAGCGGUGAAAUGCGUAGAUAUCUGGAGGAACACCAGUGGCGAAAGCGGCCUCCUGGACUGUACCUGACGCUGAGACGCGAAAGCGUGGGUAGCAAACAGG